CACAGCAGAUCAGAUCAUUCACUUUUUACGUACUCGAGCUCACGCUGUGAUGCUGAAACAGACUCCGGUGUUGCCGCCCACAAUCACAGACCAGAUCCGACUGUGGGAGCUGGAGCGGGACAGGCUGCGCUUCUCGGAGGGUGAGUGUCUGUGGAAGAAAGA